rnacentral:lncRNA from 1 species
UAAUUAGACCAUAAUAAUGCUAAGCAAGCUUUAAUCAAAUUUAAAGAAACCUCAAAGGAAUUACAAAUAAAUAAUAAGAAAUCUUAAAGAAAUAUUAGAACGAUCACAAAUAUAUCUCAAAUACAUCUCAAUUCAAUAUUAAUUUAAUCUUAGUUUAAAUCCUAUUGGACUUCAUUCAAACUUUAGGCCAAAAAUUAACUAAAUUUUAAAUCCUAAAUAAACCUUAAUAAAAUCCUAAAUCCUAAAUCAAAUCUUGACCAAACCCUAAAUUCUAAAUCAACUCCUAAUCAAAUCCUAAUCCUAAAUUAAAUCCUAACCAAACCUUAAAUCUUAAACCAAAUCCUAAUCCUAAAUCAAAUCCUAACCAAAUUUUAAUCCUAAAUCAAACCUUAAUCAAACCCUAACCUUAAAUCAAAUCCUAACCAAACCUUAAACUCUAAAUCAAAUCCUA